GAAAGUCACUACGCUGCGUAAGAGAAGCCAAAUAAAGCGCAUGCUGUGUACAGAGGGUGUCGAGAAUGCCUCCUACGUGACGGAAAGCAGAUCCGUGGUUCCCUGCAGACUGGCAGGAGCAGAUUCCAAAGGCACAGGAAGAAGCUUGCAGGCAGCUGCUCCCAACCCCAGAACCUUUGCUGUCUUGGGACGGAUCACCACUGCAAGAGGGGAAGUUGCUACUGUGAUGAAUUCUGCCAUGUGGCACCAGACUGCCACCCAGACCACAGUGUCCUCUGCAACCCUGCUUCUCAGAUGACCAAGAUGGUGCUGCAGAUGGUGCUGAGGAUGGAGAACCCACCAAGCCCCGCUAGGAGCCACCUAGACUGGAUGCAGAGCAUGGUUCAGCGAGUUCUCCAAACCAGCCUCCCAGGAAUGCCAUUCACCAUGGCUGUGAGGAGAAUAAAGAAGAGAGCCUGACUCCUCUCCUGAGGCCCCUUCCCCACC
rnacentral:misc_RNA from 1 species